ACCUCUAUGAGUUCAAGCCACUUAAAAAAAUUGAAGAAGAAAUAAUCUUUGUCGAAUCUGUGGGUGGCUAUGCAUCGAUCCAUAAAUAUGAAAAGAAGAAGAACGUUACUCUUAUUCUGUGGUAAAAAGUGAGAAAAUUUUGAACUAGAGAAAGUAUUGUCGAGAUGUUUUGUUAUGUCGCUCUUAAAAUUUUUCUGAUUUUUUAAUGGAAAAAUUGAUUUUUCUGUACACGAUUUGAGUGUAUUCGGUUCCUUAAGGCCUGUUUAACCUCUUGAAAAUGGGCAUCAUUAAUAAUACACCUCAGACUCCAGCGCAUUCGAACCUUCCAAAAGAAUUGGAAUUUUGAACCUUCCAAAAGAAGAGACCUGGAUCACCGCUUGUAUAACCCUGAUAUUUAGCUACCAUUCCAGUUUACGAAGUUGAUUGUUUAUUAUCUAAUUAACAAUUUUGUACAAGAAAUCAAUGGAUCGAUACUGUUCCAGGGCAGUACAUUUAUCCGUUUGAUAAAUAUUAUCUAAUAAUUAUAUCUAUUUUAAAUUUAUGCUAAUUUUUGGCUUUUGGUCACUUCUCUUUACUUUUAGUAGAAUACCAUCUACUUAGAAUUUUACUUCAUGUUGUUUUUGGUUUACUUUCAUUUAUACUAGCUGGACUGCCAUAUUUCCUCCAUUGUGGGAAUAAUAUCAUCAUUUUUUUAAUUCUAUGCAAUAUUCCGUGGACUGUAUUUUUAUGCCCUUGACUGUAUUUUAAUUUUUUAUUUGUAUUAUUUCUUUAUAGAGUUAUUUUUCUAAUACUUAGUACUCAAAUUUCAAAAUAAAGACCAAUUUCCCAUCAAUUCCUGGCGCAUUCGCCAUUUAUUAAAAAACCUGACUUGCACAGGAUUAUAUUUCUGGCUUUUCUAGCAUUAUUUCCAAUGUAUUUUCGUAAGUAACAUCGACUCCAGAGCAUCAUAACUAGCUUCCCCUAAGGGGAGGAGACCCGGGUCACCCCCUAACCCUGAUGCUCGGGCAUCAAUGACCUAUGUAGCAUGCAUAGGUACCCAAGGGAGUCACCACCCUCUGAUUUACGAGCUAGGUGUUCUAACGCUAGAGGCUUCGGACGUAUACGACCUGGCACCCAAGCUACGAGACUACUUCGUGCACGUAUUCCGUGACCCUCGAAGAGACAGGGGGCGGGAUAUCGAACACAUUGAUGAUGAGGGGGGUCCGCCUGUAGGGGGUCCCGGUGGAUGUCCGCUCGAUGGGUGACGAGGGUGACCCGAGACGAGGCUGCUUAGCUGGGAUGGGAACUGACUGGUGAGGCUUAAUCGUCGACCAAGGGUUAAAUCUGAUGAAGGGGGGCAAACUGAUAUGCUCUGGAGGAUUUUUCUUUAUGUGCUUCAGUCAUAUUUUGACUAGAUAUUCGUUAAGAGGUGGCUAAGCAUAACUUUUUGUCAAUCUUAUUGACUACAUACCUCUUUAUUAUUUUUUUUUAAUAGCAUCUAAAAUCUUUUUGCUCCAUCUUGCUUUUGGCCUACCUCUAUUUCACUAUUUUUAUCUGUGCCAUAUUUUUUUUAUUAUUUGAAUAUUAAUAUUCAUCAAUUCUAUAAAACUGUCUUAAUCAUUGUUACACAUAUUUUUAUAUUCUUAUUGACAUUCUUCUGAGACGUUUCUAAGACAUAUUUAAAUUCUAUUGCCCCUAUAGAAUAAUACCUAUUUUUAUGCUAUUUUUCAGUUCAUUUUACCUGCAUUUUAUUAUUUAUUUUUUAUAUUUUCCUUAUUAUUGGAAAUAUCCGUUCUAUAAACUUUUGUACUGAUUGUUUGUGUAAUUUUUUGUGUCAGACUUUGUAUCCUUUUCUAUGUCAGAACGAAUCUAAGAUAGUAUUGCCACAUUUCUUGUAUAGCUUAUUUUUAUUUAUUUUCGUGUCAUUUUUUCAUCAUAUCCCUCUGGGAAUGUCAUUAUUUAUUGAUUCUCUAAACUCUUCCAUUGAUUGUAUUACUAAGUCUUCGUAUCUGUUCACAUUUGUAUAAUUUUGUGUCGUUUUCCUUUGACUGAAUUUCAUGGCUCAUUUUCAUGCAAUUGAAUUGUAUUGUUCUGGGAAUGGAGUAUUGUACUGCUUUGGAACAAGAAAUAAGAUGCCAUCAGGUUGAUUAAAUUCCACAUUCAACAGUGGAUUGAGGAUGAAAUUCAUCAUUGAAGAGGAAGCUAAAUAACUUUAGAGCCAAGACUUUCCAGAAGGGUAGCCAGAAGACGUGUUUACCUCAACAUAGAGAUCAGCAUGUCCAUCAACACCCCUUGUAUUUUAUUAUAUCUUUUAAGUUACUCUUGUUAAUAAAAUAUAGUAUGUUAAUAAACAAUAAUUAAUAA